UGAAUUACUAUAAGAGGUCCAGCCUGCCCAGUGACCCUGUUCAACGGCCGCGGUAUCCUAACCGUGCGAAGGUAGCGUAAUCACUUGUUCUCUAAAUGUGGACUAGUAUGAAUGGCACCACGAAGGUUAUACUGUCUCCUUUCUCUAAUCAGUGAAACUAAUCUCCCCGUGAAGAAGCGGGGAUAGCGCUAUAAGACGAGAAGACCCUAUGGAGCUUCAAACAAUACAGCAUCUGCCCAAUAAUACUGAAAUUUCCGAAUUUAAACUUCUCUGGACAGUGUGACUGUGAGUUUUUGGUUGGGGUGACCACGGAGCACAACAUAACCUCCAUGCUGAAAGAAAAUAUCUAAGCUAAGAGCCACAAAUCUAAGCAUCAAUAAAUUGACAUCCAUUGACCCAAUACACUUGAACAACGAACCAAGUUACCCUAGGGAUAACAGCGCAAUCCACUUCAAAAGCUCCUAUCGACAAGUGGGUUUACGACCUCGAUGUUGGAUCAGGGUCUCCCAGUGGUGCA
rnacentral:rRNA from 1 species